UGGGGAAUAUUGGACAAUGGGCGCAAGCCUGAUCCAGCCAUGCCGCGUGAGUGACGAAGGUCUUCGGAUUGUAAAGCUCUUUUAGCAGGGAAGAUAAUGACGGUACCUGCAGAAUAAGCCCCGGCUAACUUCGUGCCAGCAGCCGCGGUAAUACGAAGGGGGCUAGCGUUGUUCGGAAUUACUGGGCGUAAAGCGCACGUAGGCGGAUUGAUAAGUUAGAGGUGAAAUCCCGGGGCUCAACCUCGGAACUGCCUUUGAUACUGUUAGUCUCGAGUCCGAUAGAGGUGAGUGGAAUUCCUAGUGUAGAGGUGAAAUUCGUAGAUAUUAGGAAGAACACCAGUGGCGAAGGCGGCCAACUGGCUCGAUACUGACGCUGAGGUGCGAAAGCGUGGGGAGCAAACAGGAUUAGAUACCCACGUAGUCCCUGAGCGGGCUGGCAAGGCGCAU
rnacentral:rRNA from 1 species